AAUUGGCUUGAUUCAUGCAGUUACACCGUGAUGGGUCCCCUUUUAAGCAGCAGUGAUUCAUUUAUAAGGGGCAAAUUGGUCUUUGUGAUGGCUGAUGGUGUCACUAUGUCUUAUGCAGUCAGAGGCUCAAACAAGGGGCUAUCACUAUGCCAACUUCUGGAUGCCAGGGUCUACUUGGCAUGGUAAAGAGAGUAUCUCCCUCUCUCUGGAGGACUGGUGGCAAGAAAGAUGUCCAUCCUUUCCAACUAUGACAGCAUGGCAGUUGAUCCUGGACUGCUUCAGGCACCUCAAGAACAGCUGGAAUUUCCUAUAAUGGGAGCUUAUAGUCUACUGGAGAAUAUACUAUGUACACAAAGAAUUUGAAGAUGAAGGGGGUGCCAACAACUUGGAGAGGAGGAAUGUGGUCCAGGAAGUCUUCAUGGAAGAGAAGGGACCUGUGCUGAACCAGAAGGAGAGAGGGUACAAAAUCUAAAAGGCUAGCUGGGUGGCUGGACCCCAGUGUUAAAGAUGCCCUGUUAAGUCAAAUGGUUGUCUUCGGGACUGAUGCUAGCCAGCAGUCAUUACUUUCCUGGUGUAUGUGUGUGUACACCUUGGGGGCCAGCCUCUUACAUCUGUAUCCCAAUGUAAUCAAGCUCAAGUAAAUGUCAAGAGGAUCUUCAAGAGGGAAGAAGAGAGGAGGAGAUAUCACACUAAGGCAGCAUGCAGAGGUAUGCGUAAGAAGGAAAAGCAGCUUGCCAGCAGCCGGAUUCAUUCCUGAGGGAUUUGCCAUUAGCCUGCUAAAGAUGCUAAAGGAUGCUUCUAAAACUAGAACUGGGUUUCAGGAGAUUCAGAAUAUAUUUUGCUCUUCAAUCUUCUUCUCCCUUGUUCUCAUUUUACGUCAAACUGUAGUUUCCCAAAGGACCUUGCUCUCUGACAUGACCUCUACUCAGAAGAAAAGCACAGGAAUGCUACCCUAGGGACAUCCUCA